GAUGAACGCUGGCGGCGUGCCUAAUACAUGCAAGUCGAGCGAACGGACGAGAAGCUUGCUUCUCUGAUGUUAGCGGCGGACGGGUGAGUAACACGUGGAUAACCUACCUAUAAGACUGGGAUAACUUCGGGAAACCGGAGCUAAUACCGGACGAUAUUUUGAACCGCAUGGUUCAAAAGUGAAAGACGGUCUUGCUGUCACUUAUAGAUGGAUCCGCGCUGCAUUAGCUAGUUGGUAAGGUAACGGCUUACCAAGGCAACGAUGCAUAGCCGACCUGAGAGGGUGAUCGGCCACACUGGAACUGAGACACGGUCCAGACUCCUACGGGAGGCAGCAGUAGGGAAUCUUCCGCAAUGGGCGAAAGCCUGACGGAGCAACGCCGCGUGAGUGAUGAAGGUCUUCGGAUCGUAAAACUCUGUUAUUAGGGAAGAACAUAUGUGUAAGUAACUGUGCACAUCUUGACGGUACCUAAUCAGAAAGCCACGGCUAACUACGUG
rnacentral:rRNA from 1 species